UGCCACAUGUAUGAUGGAAGGACAGAAG
rnacentral:piRNA from 1 species